UGGGUGUGUUUCCCUGCCUCCUCAGCAGAAGGCCUCCUUCCCAGAAACCUCCUGGUCAGCUGCCAACAUCUACCCUGCGGUUGUGACCUGGCUGCUCUCUCUGGUACCCUGCUUGGGAGGUAAAGGAGAACGCCAAGCUCCGUUCCAUGUCUUGGGGCUGCAGCAAACCUGGCAUAAGGACAGCCUGGCACUGCGGGCUUGUUUAACCCCGGUCUGCGAGUCAGAUGGACAGAGCGUGCUCGGACUUCAGGAAGAUGAACAGACCUCCGCAUUUCUCUCCAAGACUUCCCUCCAAAGCGUUAUUGGGUGGAAGGCAGACCUGGCCAGUCGCCUGCAGGAUCAGCCGUACCCAUUCGUUCCCGAGAUUCCUGACAUCCGCUUAAGUGACAUCGCCGCUGUCGACUCAGGCCCUCAGGCGGUGGAGGAAGCUUUUGAGGUGCCAGCUGGGUUUUAUUGGCAGACGGCAGAGACAGAUGAAAAAUAUUUCACCGGCAGCAGCGACAUCAGAGAGAGCAGCGAUACAGAUAUGGAGGU